rnacentral:sRNA from 1 species
GACAAAACAACCAAAGCUUCCCGAGUGUACAGGAAGUCUAAAGUCACCAGAAGGAAGAAGAAAACCUGGAACAGCAAGAGCUGGCCAAGCGCUGCUAAGACCUAUGCAAAUAAGACCCGCCCACGCUGCCUGGAAAUCGGGCCUGGGAAGUCAGAAAACAAAGCACAUGCGUGCAAGGCUGCACGGAAGGGAGGCGGAGGAGGCGGCUCCGAGGGAGCAGCUGAUCUUGAAACAGCAGUGGAUCCCUGGGAGAGCAGCACAGAUAAAGAUCCAGGCAAUAAUGAUCCUUCCUCCUCUUGGACAGCCUUUUACAGCUCUGGCCAUAGAACUUCAGAGAAUAAGUCCUUGAUGGUUUCCGUGGAAUCGAUUCCCAGUGGGGGAAAUGAUGAGUCAAGGUUACAUACAGUUUAAGGCUUCUGCAGAUCAACUCUUCAAAUUAUUCAAAUGACCCAUAUGAGAAACAGAGAAAAGCCAAGUAUUUCUGGUUGAAACGGAGAAGCCGGGCUGGAGUGCGCCUCCCUCCAGCUCCCCACUUUAACUCCCUAAG